GACGAACGCUGGCGGCGUGCUUAACACAUGCAAGUCGAACGGAAAGGCCCCCAUCUUGGUGGGGGUGCUCGAGUGGCGAACGGGUGAGUAACACGUGGGUGAUCUGCCCUGUACUUCGGGAUAAGCUUGGGAAACUGGGUCUAAUACCGGAUAGGACCAUGGUUUAGUGUCUCAUGGUGGAAAGAUUAUUGUUUUGGUGCAGGAUGAGCUCGCGGCCUAUCAGCUUGUUGGUGGGGUAAUGGCCUACCAAGGCGUCGACGGGUAGCCGGCCUGAGAGGGUGGACGGCCACAUUGGGACUGAGAGACGGGCCAGACUCCUAAGGGAGGCAGAAGUGGGGAAUAUUGAACAAUGGGCGCAAGCCUGAUGCAGCGACGCCGAGUGGGGGAUGACGGCCUUCGGGUUGUAAACUCCUUUCGUGAGGGACGAAGCCGCACUUUUUUUGGGUGUGGUGACGGUACCUUUGUUAAGAAGCACCGGCUAACUACGUG
rnacentral:rRNA from 1 species